AAUCUAAAAAAAUUUUAAUAUUUUCAUCUUGUUUUAAAAUUGAUGAAAUCGAAAAUCGCAGUCAUUAAGUUCAGACCAAUCAAUCACUUCUUCUAAUGACUGAUAUUUUAGUCCUCAUAAAUAGUAGUUUUAAUUAGAGUAUAUAUGAUUAAUUUAAAAUACUAUUUAUGUCGACUAAGUAUCAAGAAUGCUAAGGGAAAAAGGUGAUGUGUUGAAAGCAGAGUUUAAGCAAUUUGACAAUAAUUCUCUAAUAAAAUAAUAAAGUAAAUAAAAAGUUAUCAAAAUGGUUAAUAAUACUUUUCUAUUCUAAUGAAAUAGUAAAAAUUUGUUGAUUUUUUUUUUAUAUUUAUACGUUAUCUUUUUUAUCUUUGUAAAAUCAUCAUUAAUUUAAUAAUUUUAAUACUAAUUACUCAUAAUUGUAAAAUUUGUGUUUAGUAAACAAGAAUACUACUAAAUAUUAUUAUCACAUUUAUCACAUUUAACUUGUGUUACGAUAUCAUACAGAUAAUUUCUAAUAACUGUCUUAAAUAAUUAAAUAAUCUAUACGUAAAUAAUUUUUUAAAAUUUACAAUUUUUUUUGGUUUCCUUUAACUAAACAAGUAGGCUAGAUAAAAUAUAUUUUGUAUUUAAUUUGUUAUUUUGAGUUUUUUUUUUUUGAGUGUAUAUUUAAUAUCACAUAGUUUAAUGAAAUUGAAUCUUUGUUAAAAUAAUAAAUCAAUCAUUAUUUAUUUAUUUAUUUAUUUAUUUAUAUGUAUAAGAAUGUAUCAAUUUAUAUCUAUUAAUCUCGAGUUUAAUGUAUUUAAUAUGUUAAUAUGUAAUAUAACACAUUUUUUAUUUGGAUACAUUUGUCUAUUUCUAUUUAUAAUAUAGACCAGUGGUUCUCAACCAGGGUGACAUGGACCCAGAUGUAGAACAGUACGACUAGAUUCAAAACCAUUUUAUUUCUAUGAUACAAACAGAUCACUAUGAGGUACAACAGGAAGCUAUGGAACUGAAUAAUAACUGAACCCUCCAACUUAAAUUUAAAGAAGUCUCGCUCAACAGCUUUUGGAUGGCCUUUUACAAUGAAUACAGUUGAUUAUCAACCAAGGCUGUUGAAGUGCACCUUCAGUUUUCUACAUCCUGGUUACGAGAACAUGGAUUUAGUGCACUCACAAAUAUUAAAACAAAAAAACGCCAAAGACUCUAAAAACAACUCUAGAAGACAAUAUGAGACUCGCUCUUUCCACCAUCAACCCUCGAAUUCCCCAACUUUGUAGAAACCACUAGAAUCAAAUUUCCCAUUAAAUUUAUACAAAUUAUUAUUUUUGCUCUUUUUAUUCGCCAAUUUAAAGUUUAAACUUUAAAGUGUCAACAUUUAUUGAACUCAGC